rnacentral:rRNA from 1 species
GAUCAUGGCUCAGGAUGAACGCUAGCUACAGGCUUAACACAUGCAAGUCGCGGGGCAGCAUAUAGAUAGCUUGCUAUUUAUGAUGGCGACCGGCGCACGGGUGAGUAACGCGUAUCCAACCUUCCCCAUAGUAGGGUAUAGCCCGGCGAAAGUCGGAUUAAUCCCCUAUGUUGUUUGAAGCGGACAUCUAAUUCAAACCAAAGAUUCAUCGCUAUGGGAUGGGGAUGCGUCUGAUUAGGUGCAGGCGGGGUAACGGCCCACCUGGCCGACGAUCAGUAGGGGUUCUGAGAGGAAGGUCCCCCACACUGGUACUGAGACACGGACCAGACUCCUACGGGAGGCAGCAGUGAGGAAUAUUGGUCAAUGGGCGCGAGCCUGAACCAGCCAAGUAGCGUGCAGGAUGACGGCCCUACGGGUUGUAAACUGCUUUUAUGCGGGGAUAAAGUGCGGCACGUGUGCCGUUUUGCAGGUACCGCAUGAAUAAGGACCGGCUAAUUCCGUGCCAGCCGCCGC